AUUGAACGCUGGCGGCAUGCCUUACACAUGCAAGUCGAACGGCAGCACGGGAGCUUGCUCCUGGUGGCGAGUGGCGAACGGGUGAGUAAUACAUCGGAACGUACCCAGGAGUGGGGGAUAACGUAGCGAAAGUUACGCUAAUACCGCAUAUUCUGUGAGCAGGAAAGCGGGGGAUCGCAAGACCUCGCGCUUUUGGAGCGGCCGAUGUCGGAUUAGCUAGUUGGUGAGGUAAAAGCUCACCAGGGCGACGAUCCCUAGCAGGACUGGGAGGAUGGUCUGCCACACUGGGACUGAGACACGGCCCAGACUCCUACGGGAGGCAGCAGUGGGGAAUUUUGGACAAUGGGGGCAACCCUGAACCAGCCAUGCCGCGUGAGUGAAGAAGGCCUUCGGGUUGUAAAGCUCUUUCGGCGGGGAAGAAAUGGCAACGGCUAAUAUCCGUUGUUGAUGACGGUACCCGCAUAAGAAGCACCGGCUAACUACGUGCCAGCAGCCGCGGUAAUAC
rnacentral:rRNA from 1 species